UUACGGCCAUAUCCCGUUGAAACACCGAUUCUCGUGCGAUCAUCGAGGUUAAGCAACGUCGAGCCUGGUCAGUACCUAGAUGGAUGACCGCUUGGGAAUACCAGGUGCUGUAA